UCCCAACUGGUUUAGUGGUAAAGAAUCUGCCUGCAAGGCAGGAGAUGCAGGUUUGAUCCCUGGGUCGGGAG
rnacentral:tRNA from 1 species